rnacentral:lncRNA from 1 species
GUUUGAUGCAAAGGUGCUUUCUCUAUCACUGGACAUGAACAGGAAGUCAAUGGGAUGAAGCCAGAGCAGAAGAUGACUGAGCAGAAAUUAACAAAGUACAUCAGUCCCAGCAUGUCCUUGAGGAGUACCUGGAACAACUAAUCUCGGGAGUCUGUGCUUCCUCUAGAGUACCAGUCAUGCCCACAUGUGAUGAAGACAGGAUUCUAAGGUUUGGCACUUCUUCAAAUUGGAUUAGUUGGAGGAUGUUUCAAAGUUGGAAAGUUAUGUGUGUUACCCUUGGCACUGGAUGAUUGCAACAGUAAGUGGCAACUGGGAUAUUUCUCCAGAGCUUCUACAACAACAAAUUGAGAGUUUCACAAGCACCUGGGGCCCAGCAGACGUUGGGAAGCCUAUUCUGGGACUCGCCUCCAUCUAAAUGAUUUGAAAAUUCAGCUCCUGAACACAGCCAGAUUGCUGUCAGCAAUUCGAAUAAGUUUUAACAACACUGGAUCCACCUCAAGGUUAUUUCUUCAAUAUCAUACAGAAAAUAUUGUAAAUGAAGGAAAUAUGAUGCAAAGUGGUA